rnacentral:rRNA from 1 species
GACGUAGGGGGCCAGCGUUGUUCGGAAUUACUGGGUGUAAAGGGUUCGUAGGCGGUGUGGCAAGUCGGGAGUGAAAUCUCUGGGCUCAACCCAGAGUCUGCUUCCGAAACUGCUGUGCUUGAGUGUGGGAGAGGCGCGUGGAAUUGCAGGUGUAGCGGUGAAAUGCGUAGAUAUCAGGAGGAACACCUGCGGUGUAGACGGCUUUCUGGACCAUUACUGACACUGAGACACGAAAGCGUGGGUAGCAAACAGG